rnacentral:rRNA from 1 species
GGAAGGCCUUUGGGUUGUAAACCUCUUUUCUCAGGGAAGAAGAUCUGACGGUACCUGAGGAAUAAGCAUCGGCUAACUCCGUGCCAGCAGCCGCGGUAAUACGGAGGAUGCAAGCGUUAUCCGGAAUUAUUGGGCGUAAAGCGUCCGCAGGUGGUCCUUCAAGUCUGCUGUCAAAGACCAGAGCUUAACUCUGGGCAGGCGGUGGAAACUGAGAGACUAGAGUUCGGUAGGGGUAGCGGGAAUUCCC